GACCUGCGGGAAGAGUGUUCUGAGGCAGGGGAAACAGCACACACUAAAACCCAAUGAAGGGAACUAAAACCCCCAACGAAUGGAAGAUGUUAACUAGUUGAUGAAGCAUUCUUCAUUCCAGAGAGAAAGUCACAGCUUGAUAACCUUGAGAACCACAGAAGCUCAUCAGGAGACCACCUGAGGACAAUUUAAAAGAAUGCAGGCCCUGCACACACCCUGUUCCUUAUCAGCAACCCCACCCUUGAAGCACUGCUAUAAAACUCCUCACCAAAUCCCCCCAAGUGGGGACACACAGUUUUUGAGGACGUGAGCCCACUGUGUCCCGCUUUGCCUGGCAAAGCAAUAAAGCUAUUCUUUUCUACUUUACCCAGAA